rnacentral:rRNA from 1 species
CUGCGAGUGAAGCGGCAAGAGCUCAAAUUUGAAAUCUGGCAUCCGCCCGAAUUGUAAUUUGUAGAAGCAAUUUUUGAACUAGUCCUUGCAUAUGUUCCUUGGAACAGGACAUCAUAGAGGGUGAGAAUCCCGUUCAUGGUGGGGAGCCUAGUUCUUUGUAAAAUGCUUUCGACGAGUCGAGUUGUUUGGGAAUGCAGCUCUAAGUGGGUGGUAAAUUCCAUCUAAAGCUAAAUAUUGGCGAGAGACCGAUAGCGAACAAGUACAGUGAUGGAAAGAUGAAAAGUACUCCGAAAGGAGAGUGAAAUAGGACGUGAAAUUGUUGAAAGGGAAGUGCUUGAGAUCAGUGAUAGAGUUUAGUGAUCAACUUUCCUUUUGGUUUGUGCACUUGCUAAUCUCUAGGCCAGCAUCAGUUUGUGGGGUAGGAUAAUUGCAUAGGAAUGUGGCU